rnacentral:rRNA from 1 species
UACGAAGGGGGCUAGCGUUGCUCGGAAUUACUGGGCGUAAAGGGCGCGUAGGCGGAUAGUUUAGUCAGAGGUGAAAGCCCAGGGCUCAACCUUGGAAUUGCCUUUGAUACUGGCUAUCUUGAGUUCGGGAGAGGUGAGUGGAAUGCCGAGUGUAGAGGUGAAAUUCGUAGAUAUUCGGCGGAACACCGAGUGGCGAAGGCGAAGCUC